GUUGAUGGAGGAUCAAACGUUGAGAAUCUUGGGUUGCAGAACAUUCAAGCACGGAUGAGAAUGGUGUUAGCGUUUAUGUUAGCGUCUCUCUUGCCUUGGGUUCAUAGCAAACCAGGCUUUUACCUUGUUCUAGGCAGCUCCAAUGUUGAUGAAGGACUUCGUGGUUACCUGACAAAGGUGAUGGGGACUUAUCUCUUUUUACUGCUACAUCUCAAAUUCCAAUAGAUUGUUAAUGUAAGAUAUUCCGGUGUGGCCCAGUUUCCAUGUUCAAGGUUUGAGUUCUGAUCUUUAGACAAAUGUACUAAACCAUGAUGCACUGAGAUAAUUGUUUUGUAAUGAUUUUGCAGAAUCUAUGUUACAAGUGGGGAACAAAGCUAAGCCCAGCAGAAGUAGCUGAGAAAGUGAAGUACUUCUUCAAGUAUUAUUCGAUCAAUCGACACAAGAUGACUGUCCUCACACCGUCCUACCACGCUGAGGUACUGCUACGGAACAAAAAUUUGUCUGAUACUUGUUUUGAAACUGUGACGAGUGAGAGAAAACUCAUAGGGGUUCUCUUGUUGCAGAGUUACUCUCCAGAGGACAACAGGUUCGAUCUGAGGCAGUUUCUGUAUAAUAGCAAGUGGCCAUACCAGUUCAAGAAGAUUGACGAGAUUGUUGACGGCCUAAAUGGUGACUCAGUUGCUUUUCCAGGAGAAGAAGCAAGCUACGGCAAAGAAGUUGGAGUCGUGGCUGCAAAUUCCGGUGAUCCAAGCGCGGGUCUCUGACGAAACCUCUUUACCUCUCUGUUUCAACUUAAAAGUGGAAGUUUGGAACAGUGUGGGAACAAAUAACAUGUUUGUGUUGAAGAGAACAACAAAACAACAGUAACCACUUGCAAUAAGUUUUCUUUCUGAGUAAGUCGAUGAUCAUAUGAUCUUGUUAAAAGUUCAUUAUUAUGCAACAAACUUAUGUUUAUACAUGUUUAAAGUUUAGUUUGAGAGCAUGUUUUCUCAGUUGUAAUAUUUAGUAAAAUAGAUUCAAGUGCUCUACUCAUUGUUAAUGCAUUUGGUUAAUCUUCACUAUACAUCUAUCUAUUCAAGGAUUUGGCUAAAAUUUCAAAUUGAUUUCAUUUUUAAAGAGAAACUUAACAUUUAGUUCGGAAAUCAAUUGCUUCAUAACUCUAAUCAUAAUGAGUAAAGAAUCCAGUUUAUCGACACGUAAGUCUGAGUAUAAUGCUUCCUUUCAAUAACUGUGUCAAUGAUUCUAACUCUUAUCAGCUAUUAUGUUUCUUUAUCAGAGCUGUUGCAGCUGAAGUCUGUGAGGAACUGUUUAGUCCAGUUCCUCCUCAUGCUGAGCUUGCGUUGAACGGUGUGGAGGUGUUUAUGAAUGCGAGUGGGAGUCAUCACCAGCUAAGAAAGCUUGAUAUUCGUUUGAAUGCUUUCAUGGGGGCUACUCACGCUCGCGGUGGGGUUUAUAUGUACAGUAAUCAACAGGGAUGCGAUGGUGGCCGCUUAUACUACGGUUUGUUCAUUUCUGAGUAAUCCUAUCUUCUCUUUUAGUGACCAUCUUGAUUUGUUUCGUUUUAACUCAAUUGCAGAUGGAUGUGCAUGCAUUGUUGUAAAUGGGGAUGUUGUAGCUCAAGGGUCACAGUUCUCGUUGAAGGACGUUGAGGUCAUCACUUCCCAAGUGGACCUAGAUGCGGUACCCUACAGUUAACCUCUGGUUUUACUUUCUUUUGAUGAUAUAUAUAUAUAUAUAAUCAUCUUGCUUUCUUUGCUUUGGGAAAGGUUGCUAGUCUUCGCGGAUCGAUAAGUAGUUUUCAGGAACAAGCAAGUUGUAAGGUGAAAGUAUCUUCAGUAUACGUGCCCUGUAGGCUGACUCAGUCCUUCAACCUAAAAAUGACACUAAGCAGUCCAAAGAAGGUUCUCUAUCCCUCUGCUUCCUAUAUGUUUAAAAGUGAAUGUUUUAAAAGUUUCCAAAUCUAAUACUUGUUAGUAUGUAGAUUAUGUACCACUCUCCACAAGAAGAAAUAGCCUUUGGUCCUGCUUGCUGGUUAUGGGACUAUUUGAGAAGAAGCGGCGCUUCAGGGUUUUUACUUCCCCUUUCUGGUGGAGCAGACAGCUCGUCUGUGGCAGCUAUUGUUGGAUGCAUGUGCCAACUUGUUGUUAAAGGUAUGUUGGACUGUGAUUCUCUUAUUGGACAACCAUGUGAAUAACUUGAAGCAAUGUUCAAGAAUUCGCUAGGUGGUAACUAGAUGUUUCGUAUAAAACUAGCGACCAGACAAAUUAUUCGGGGCCUAAGACCCCGUCUAGGGGUUAACAAACUAUCAAUUUAUUUUUUAUAUAUUUUACAUUUACAUUCGAUUUUUUAGCUUUUGGGUUUAAUUAUAAAUUUAUUUUGAUGAACUAUAAAAAAAUUACAUAUACAAAAAGAAAAUAAAGUAGACAAAUUUGUGGAUUUGCACUAACAUUAUUGUUUAAUUUUAGCAGAUUCAAAUUAAUUUAGAUUGAUUUAGACCAGUUUAAACCCAUUUUAACCAAUUUAAAAUGGUUUAAACCGAUCAAAUGGAGAAGAUUGUUACCAAUUUAUUGUCUAGACCAAUAUUUAGAAUAUCGACUUUGACUGGAAGAGACUUCCAUGAUGUUGUUGAUAUUUUUCUCGUGUAGAGAUUGCAAAUGGAGAUGAGCAAGUGAAAACUGAUGCGAAACGGAUUGGGAACUAUACUAAUGGAGAGUUUCCAUCUGAUAGCAAAGAGUUUGCUAAGCGAAUAUUUUACACUGUGUUUAUGGGGUCUGAAAACAGGUAAUUUAGUUAACAGUAACAAAGAAGAUAUCGCUGCAGCAAACAUGAAACGUUUUGCUUAUUGAGAUCUUGAUUUUGCAGUUCUGAGGCGACAAAAAUGCGUGCAAAGCAGCUGGCAGACGAGAUCGGUGCAUGGCAUCUUGAUGUUUGCAUAGAUGGCGUUGUCUCUGCGGUUCUAACUUUAUUUCAAACGGUUACUGGCAUGCGUCCUCGGUAUAAGGUAUCUAGCACUGGAUCAACAAUCCAAACUUGAUGAUAAUAAAAUGAAAUGAAAUGAAGAGGAAAUGGUUAUGGGUUUUGUUGUGUACAGGUUGAUGGAGGAUCAAACGUUGAGAAUCUUGGGUUGCAGAACAUUCAAGCACGGAUGAGAAUGGUGUUAGCGUUUAUGUUAGCGUCUCUCUUGCCUUGGGUUCAUAGCAAACCAGGCUUUUACCUUGUUCUAGGCAGCUCCAAUGUUGAUGAAGGACUUCGUGGUUACCUGACAAAGGUGAUGGGGACUUAUCUCUUUUUACUGCUACAUAGAUUGUUAAUGUAAAUACACUCUUUUGGUUGAAACAGUAUGAUUGUAGCUCAGCAGACAUAAACCCCAUAGGAAGUAUUAGU
rnacentral:lncRNA from 1 species